GAUGAAGAACGUAGCGAAAUGCGAUAAGUAAUGUGAAUUGCAGAAUUCCGUGAAUCAUCGAAUCUUUGAACGCACAUUGCGCCCCCUGGCAUUCCGGGGGGCAUGCCUGUCCGAGCGUCAUUUCUGCCCUCCAGCCCGGCUGGGUGUUGGGCGCUGUCCCCCCGGGGACACGCCCCAAAGGCAGUGGCGGCGCCGCGUCGGGUCCUCGAGCGUAUGGGGCUUUGUCACCCGCUCGGGACGGACUCGUCGGCGCUGGUCUUCCUCCAGGCGACCCUUCGGGGCUCGUCUUCCUUCGGUUGACCUCGGAUCAGGUAGGGUUACCCGCUGAACUUAAGCAUAUCAAUAACGGAGGA
rnacentral:misc_RNA from 1 species